rnacentral:rRNA from 1 species
CCCUUAGAUGUUCUGGGCCGCACGCGCGCUACACUGACGGAGCCAACGAGUACUUUCCUUGUCCGGAAGGACUGGGUAAUCUUGUGAAACUUCGUCGUGCUGGGGAUAGAGCAUUGCAAUUAUUGCUCUUCAACGAGGAAUUCCUAGUAAGCGUGAGUCAUCAGCUCGCGUUGAUUACGUCCCUGCCCUUUGUACACACCGCCCGUCGCUACUACCGAUUGAAUGGUUUAGUGAGAUCUUCGGAUUGGCGCCACUGCGGCUCAGCAAUGGGCUCGGUGGAUGCCGAAAAGUUGAUCAAACUUGAUCAUUUAGAGGAAGUAAAAGUCGUAACA